rnacentral:lncRNA from 1 species
UGAAAAUCUAUGUCAUAUGAAUUAUGCACAGUGCAGCUGCACACUAACCUCUCCAUUUUAAAAUGUUUCGAUCUAUUUAGUAAUAAUUCCUGUGUAUUAGUCUGGCCUACAGGCUAAUUAGCUUCUUCAUUUUAUCUCUCAGAAAAAAAUGUAACAAAAAAUACUGGAUUCAACCUUUUACGUCAUUUCUAAAAAGCUAGGGAACAAAGACACGUGUAUUUACUUAGUGAAAGUUGAGAAAGUACCACAGUGUGAAAUCAAAGCCAAAAUUCUGGACAUUUUAAAUAGCUAGAACACACUGUCAAGGGAUUGGAUAGCUCUGGCCACUUUUAAUAGAUGCAUUGAUUUUUUUCAGACCAAUAAUUCCUGCCCAAAGAACUUAAUACACAGGAAGCCAUUUUAAUAUACUAAAUACCAGAAGGAAAGAACAAGUAAUUUUCAUGUAACAGGAUUUUUAGCUAAGACUUAAACAAACGGAUUACACAUAUACAGAUUAAAAUAUCCGACUAAAAAGCAGAAAUUCACUUUAUAAUGUAGAACUUAAUUUCAUGUUUCAAGCACUGGCUUCCUUCCUUCCAUCCAGAUGCCAGACAGCAAAGCACAGAAACAGGCAGUGCUUUUCUCCUCAGUGACUUCUAAGGCUUCUCGGUGCCAAUCACAGAGCAGUUUUCUUAACCUGCCCACAUAACAGAGGCAUGGAUGGAACAUUCUGCAGAAUGCAAGACUGUCACCUCAAACCAUCUCUUUCCUACAAGGACAGAGCAGUUCACCAUGUCUGUUGCCAGGAUAAUAACAGAACACCGGAUCUACCUGCUUCUGUAUGUUGAACAAAUCACGCUGAAUGCUGGAUUCUACAGAGCUCCGGCGCAAUCUCCUAUCGCAGACCCAGCAACAGUUACUCACAUUCAAGUUUCUGACAAGUUUUAUUUAACUUGCUUUAAAAGAAUUUUACCUUUAAAAAGCUUCUCUAAAUUAUUAAACAUAUUUCUUCCUACAAGUAAAAGUCUGAACUUGGAAGAUAAUUCAAAUUACUAAGAACAUCUUCAGAUGAGUUGUUGAGUAUAUUGGCAGACUCUACUCAUGUCCCCCGUAUUGGAGAGUAAGUUAGUCCUGCAUAAUUACUAAUACCGUGUUUUAAGAUUUGUUCAUCCGAGGGGGCAAAAUCAAUGCUGACUGUCAUUGUAGCUGCAUCUAAAUUUACUAUAUUUUACAAGUCAACUUUCCUUAUUAAUGGAAAUCGACAACUUUUCACUGAGAUCGAGUUCAGACACCAUAGGCAGUUUUGAAGAAGUCAGUCUGGAGUGAUUUAACAAGAACAAAGCAUUUCUCUAAUUAAUUCUGUAGACUACAGUAUUUCUAAAUCUACGACAUCUGCAGAUUCACCAAGAAAUUGCUAAAAUAUUAGCUACAGAAAUUAGUGUUUUGCAUUUAGUGAAUUUUACUGUUCAGUACUGAUGCUCUUUUUAGGAAAAUUUCAAGCCCUUUCGUAGUUAGCUAUAGGAUUUGCGUACAGGAGACUGGCAACAUUUUCAUGUAAUACAAGAGUUGUGUCUCUUUGUUCCGUCCCCCUUUUAUGUGACACUAGCCUUUCAGGAAUAAACAAGAUUGAAAAGGCAAAAACAGAAUAUACUCAGUAAAAUUUGCAUUCUUUUCGGAAAAUCAUUUAAAUGACUUAUUUGUAUCAAGGCCCAAGCUUACAUAGAAUGACAUUCAGCCAAUGAUACUACCACCUGUCCAGCCUGUCCCUCUCUAACCCUUCCCUAGGCACUGCAUAUUCCAGAGACAACAAAAGAAAAAGUGUGUGUACUUUGUACAUAUUUUUGCUUUACUGAUAUUGGAAGUUCUAAAUGGGCUUUAGUAUCUAGAUUAAGUUGUAAACAUCCUGCUACAGCAACCAGUCCAACUAUUAUCUCCAUAAUCCCUUACAGGUACAAUUAAAGAUAAAAUUCUGACAAGCCACCAGAAGAUUCAUCACAAACACCAAACACACUGCUAUAAAAUCAUCUCACACUCAUAUCCAAGCCUUUCUUGCCACACCAUUAUUAAAGCCCUCAUGGAUUUGAUAUGCAAAGUAUGUAAACUUUGUUUCCCCAGCUAGGGUUGGUAGUGUAGGUCGUUUGAUACAGAUUAGGUAACAAUACAUAGGACUUUAGUUUUAUAUCCUGGAUCCAAUUUUUAAAGUCAUCCGCCUUUAUCAGUCUUCCCAUUGCUUUUUCCUCUGGCUAAGCUUGUAGUAAACAGCAAAACUACUUCAUAAAAAGUAACUGGCUCAGGGGCUGGGAUUUAGCUCAGUGGUUCUGCUGCCUGCCUUGCAAGUGCAAGGACCCGAGUUCAAUGCCUAGUACCAAAAAAAAAAAAAAAAAAAAAAAUUGGUUCAAAAAACUUUCUA